rnacentral:rRNA from 1 species
GAUGAACGCUGGCGGCGUGCUUAACACAUGCAAGUCGAACGUGAAAUCCGAGAUGAACAUUUCGAUGCGAUUCUUAGAUGGAAAGUGGCGGACGGGUGAGUAACACGUGGAUAACCUGCCUCGAAGUGGGGGACAACCAUUAGAAAUGAUGGCUAAUACCGCAUAGUCCUUUGGAUGCCCAAGCAUUCCAUAGGUAAAACUCCGGUGCUUCGAGAGGGGUCUGCGUCCGAUUAGUUAGUUGGCGGGGUAAUGGCCCACCAAGACAAUGAUCGGUAGCUGGUCUGAGAGGACGAUCAGUCACACGGGAACUGAGACACGGUCCCGACUCCUACGGGGGGCAGCAGUGAGGAAUAUUGCACAAUGGGGGAAACCCUGAUGCAGCAACGCCGCGUGGAGGACGAAGGCUUCGGUUGUAAACUCCUUUUAUGAGGGAAGAGUAAGGACGGUACCUCAUGAAUAAGUCACGGCUAACUACG